GCGCCCGUAGCUCAGUGGACAGAGCAGGGAUCUUCUAAGUCCAUGGUCGCAGGUUCGAGUCCUGCCGGGCGCG
rnacentral:tRNA from 1 species